rnacentral:rRNA from 1 species
AGAGUUUGAUCAUGGCUCAGGAUGAACGCUAGCGGCAGGCUUAAUACAUGCAAGUCGAGGGGUAACAGGUCCUUCGGGAUGCUGACAACCGGCAAACGGGUGAGUAACACGUAUGCAAUCUACCUUUAACUGGGGCACAACUUCGGGAAACUGGAGCUAAUUCCCCAUAACAUUGUGAAAUCUCAUGGUUUUACAAUUAAAAUUCCGAUGGUUAGAGAUGAGCGUGCGUCCGAUUAGAUAGUUGGCGGGGUAACGGCCCACCAAGUCAACGAUCGGUAGCUGAUGUGAGAGCAUGAUCAGCCACACGGGCACUGAGACACGGGCCCGACUCCUACGGGAGGCAGCAGUAGGGAAUAUUGGGCAAUGGAGGCAACUCUGACCCAGCCAUGCCGCGUGAAGGAUGAAGGUCCUACGGAUUGUAAACUUCUUUUAUUAGGGAAGAAACUCUCGAAUUCAUUCGGGACUGACGGUACCUAAGGAAUAAGCACCGGCUAACUCCGUGCCAGCAGCCGCGGUA